ACMAACGACUCUCGGCAACGGAUAUCCCGGCUCUCGCAUCGAUGAAGAACGUAGCGAAAUGCGAUACUUGGUGUGAAUUGCAGAAUCCCGUGAACCAUCGAGUUUUUGAACGCAAGUUGCGCCCGAUGCCAUUAGGUUGAGGGCACGUCUGCCUGGGUGUCACGU
rnacentral:rRNA from 1 species